rnacentral:rRNA from 2 species
CUUUCAACAACGGAUCUCUUGGUUCUGGCAUCGAUGAAGAACGCAGCGAAAUGCGAUAAGUAAUGUGAAUUGCAGAAUUCAGUGAAUCAUCGAAUCUUUGAACGCACAUUGCGCCCCCUGGCAUUCCGGGGGGCAUGCCUGUUCGAGCGUC